AGUUAUAAAUGAGUGAAUGCUAAAACUGGACUGAAUCAGAGAAAAUUUCAUGGUCCCUGUGCAAGGAUACUGUACAAAUUCUUGAAGUAGUCCAUAUUUUU
rnacentral:snRNA from 1 species